AGUUAAGAUCAAAAAACAAAAUGGUGGCAUAAUAUCUGGGUGGUGCUAGGCCAGGGUGUAGGGGAGGUCAGAGCCCCAGAAGAAACCUACUUUGAGCAAUCAUUGUCCGGUGGCAGUGAGAAUUACCACCUUCCAAUUGUUAUCAUCCUAAAACAUCAAGACAUGGCAGAAAAGAGUUGAGAUAACCACUACAGAAAACCAGGCAAGUGAUUACGUGACCGAAGGUCAGGGUCAGGAAGGCUCCAGGUGCCUGUACAUGUAACUUUAACUAGGCCAAGCCCUGAAAAAGUGGUGCAUUGGCUGGGAACUCGACGGUGACCUAACUGAUCCAACAACAUGGAUCUCUCAUGGGGCAUGAUGGAAAACCCUGAACCGCUCCAACAAACUUGUCAUCUGGUAGGCCAGCUCCAGCAGCAGCAGCAGCAACAACAGGCCUGGGCUCAGAGGAACUAAGUAGAGCUGAAAGUCCCCAAGAUGAUGCCGCAGGAUGAUCCAGAAGCAUUUCUGGAGAGCUUUGAGUGGGCAGAGCUAGCUUCAGAGCUAGAUCAGAGCUGCUGGGCUGGGCAGUUGGGUGUAGUCUUGAUAGGGUGGGCACAAGGUGCCUAACAAUCCAGGGCAUGGGAAGAAGUCUUAGAUUACAACAAACUAAAGAAGGAAAUCCUAUACUAGUUGGACAUCAAUCCUGAAAGAUACCACCAGACGUUCUAAGCUAACAAGAAGAAAGUGGAUAAAUCUCCUAGGGUCUUGCUUCAGCACCUGGCAGAUCUACUGGAAAAGUGACUGAGGCCACAAAAGAUGUCCAAGGUCAAUAUAUGCGACCAGAUCCUGUUAGAACAGUUUCUCUUGGACUUAGAUGAGAAUACACAAAGGUGGGUGAGAUGUCACCAUCCAGAAUCAUUGGUGGAAGCUCUGAGGCUGGAAGAGAAUUUUGACAGUGCCCAAGGAGAAAAUGGCUGUGAGUGGACUUUGAAAGGUAAGCUGAAUAUCAGUCAAUGAGAGGCUGAAUGUAAAGAGGCGCGUGAAGCACGUCUGGCUCAUGGACGCAGCAUGGUAUGUUUUCAGUGUGGCAAGCUGGGACAUAUGGCCAGGGAGUGUACCAGCAUGCCUCGGCAGGGGCCCCGUUCAGGAGACCCGUAUUUCAAAGUGCGGGAGUACCGGAAUGACCCGAAGGAUAGUGGUCCAGGCAAAAUGAUGGAUUGUACCCUAGGAAAGAGCAACUGGGAAGAGAACAAAGAGCAACCUAUGGUUUGGGCAACAGCUGGGGGGAAGAAGAUACAAGCCAUCAUCAAUACCAGUUGUGCCCAAAUGUUGAUUCUGGAAGAUCUAGCUUCUCUCAACUGGGCACCAGAUGCAACGGCAGUCCAGAUGAUAUGCAUGCAUGGACAACCUUCCACGUAUCCCCGAAAGAGGUACCGGAUGGAAAUCCUUAAUAGAGCCAGAGAGAUGCCAGUUGGCCUAGCGGAGGAUCUACUUUACCCAAUGAUAUUGGGCCAUAACUGGGAAGAGAUCUACCAGGUGCUGAAGGUGGUGAGAAGACUGACUAGGACUCACAGGAGAAGAAUCAGAGAACAUGGAGGGAUUUGACCUAGAGAGUUUGUCCAGCAACACACACUUUUGAGAGGCGCAAGUGGAAGAGGGGGCGUUCCAUGCCAUUAUCCAGAUGGAGCUGGUCAUGAACAAUGAACAGGUAAUCUGCCCCAAGCUGUGUUUCACAUUACCCCAGUUUGAACUUAGAAAGGGCCUACUUUAUAGAAUUAAGUCAGGUCAUCAAGAAGGGCAAGAAAUACCUAAACUAUUGAUCCCUCAACCCUACUGGGCCCCACUAAUUGAGAUUGGCACAUAUGAAUCCUCUGGGAGGACAUAUGGGGAGGGCAAAAAUGGAAGCUCAUUUGGCCAAAUACUGUUUUUGGCCACACCUGUCUAAGCAAGUCGAAGACUUCUGCCGAGCGUGUCCAAAUUGCCAAAGGGUCAGCCUAAGGAAACCCCCAUGGGCCCCACUACAGUCUAUGCUGGUAGUGUCAGACUUAGGCUUAGAAAGUGGGUGGAUAAAAACCAAAUGACAUUCAAUACAUAUAAAUGCAAGGUACCCCACCUUGGGGGGAAAAAAACUCGCAUCACGCUUAUAGGUUCAGCAGUGCUGCACUCACUAGCACCACAGCCAAAAGGGACUUCGGGGUCAUGAUUGACCACAAGAUGAACAUGAGCCACCAACGUGAUGUCACAGCUGGUAAAGUAAACAAAACUCUGGCUUGCAUCCAUAGAUGCUUCUCAAGCAAAUCUCAGGAUAUCAUCCUCCUGCUGUACUCGGACUUGAUGAGGCCGCAGCUGGAGUACUGUAUCCAAUUCUGGGCUCUACAAUUUAAGAAGGAUGUGGAGAAGCUUGAGAGAGUCCAUAGAAGAGCCACACACAUGAUUAGAAGGCAAGAGAACAGGCCUUAUGAAGAGAGGCUUAGAGCCAUGGGACUCCUCAGCCUGGAAAAACCCAGUCUCAGGGAUGACCUGAUGGCAGCCUAUAAGUAUGUAAGGGGUGUGCAUCAGGAUCUGGGGGAAUGCCUGUUCACCACAGCACCUCAAGGGAUGACAAUGUCCAAUGGUCACAUACUCCUCCAAAACCUUUUUAGGUUGGACAUAAGGAAAAACUUCUUUCCUGUCUGAGCCCCGAAGGCCUGGAAUAGAUUCCCUCCAGAGGUGGUGCAAGCACCUACUCUGGACUCUUUUAAGAAACAUUUGGACACUUUUCUUGCAGGUAUCCUUUGACCCUAGCUGACUUCCUGCCCCUGGGUCAGAGGGCUGGACUCAAUGAUCUUCUGAGGUCCAUUUCACCCCUAAUGUCUACGAAAUCAUUCCAGUCCUUUUAAUAUUUAAACCCUUUUGCACGGAUAGCUUUAGAUAGUUGAGCCACUACCGAGUUCAGCGGAACACCAGUUUAUACUAGUCCUAAUGGAUUAUGCAACAUGGUUCCCAGAUGCCAUCCCACUUCACUUAGUUACAGGACAUCAGGCAACAGAGGAAUUACUGAAGUGGAUAUCGAGGGUCGGCAUUUCCAAAGAGAUAAUUACCGACCAGGGGACUAGUUGUAUGUCACAGGUCAUCUGCAGCCUUUGCAGUGUGCUUCAAAUCCAGCACCUGCAGAUGGCAGUGUAUCAUCCCCAGACAAAUGGGUUAGUGGAGAGGUUUAAUGGUACCCUUAAAAAUAUGUUGUGCCAGUGUGCCCAAGAGGAGCUCCGUAAGUGGGACCUAUUAGUGCCUCCACUCUUGUUCGCCAUAUGGGAAGCCCCUCAAUCUUCCAUGCGGUUUGCCCCAUUUGAGCUUGUGUACACCACAUCAGCCUCAAGGACUCUUAAAUAUAGUACAGGCGGGUUGGGAAAGAGAAGAAUUUAUGAGCCCACAACCCUCUGAAUAUGUAUGAGAACUGAGGCACUGGCUACAGAGGGCCGGAGAGGUUGCUCGAGACCAUCUCAGUUGAGUUCAGUAGAAAUAAAAAGAGUGUUAUGACAAGGGUGUACAGACGAGAAAGCUCAGUGAGGGACAAAAGGUGUUAGUGCUCCUUCCCAGUGCUAUUAGUAAGUUCCUGACAUGCUAGCAAGGGCCGUUUGAGAUAGUGAGAUGAGUCGGCCCAGAAGUGUUCCAGCUGGGGAUACAAGAAAGAAAAGUAAAUUUACCACAUUAAUUUGCUAAGGUUAUGGCAAGAAACAAAGGGUCUAUUAUCUACCCCAGUAAGAGAGAGAUCAGAUGUAAAGCAGGAGAAAAAUAAAAAAAACCAGAAGAAUGGGGACUUACAAAGGAUAUCUGUCUAGGAUCCCAGUUGUUAGGGGGGGACAAAAGGUGUAGUUAGAGCAGCUAGUACAAGAAAUUUGCAAUUUGUUUAGCAAAAUUCUUGGAUGCACAAAGGGACUAAGUCACAGCAUUAUCACAGCGAAAGGCAAAGAGGUAAGGGAGAAAUGGCAGAGGAUCCCUUACCAUAGAUAUGACCUAAUAAGGGCUGAAACAGAUAAAAUGUUAGCUCAGGGUGUGAUCACCAAUUCUCAAAACCCCUGGCGAAGCCCCUUAGUGGCUGUGCCAAAACUAGACAGAUCACUAAGGCUGUGCAUAGACUUUUGAAAAUGGAACGCUAUCUCUAGAUUUGAUGCUUUUCCAAUACCACAGAUUAACAAGUUACUAGAGAGGUUAGGGCAAGCAAAAUUUAUAUCCACCUUGGACUGAUCUAAGGGAUAUUGGCAAGUGCCAGUACAAAAGAAUGAUCAAGCAAAAACUGCCUUUGGCGCUCCAUGGGGUCUUUAUGAGUUCAAACGCAUGCCGUUCAGUCUACAUGGUGCAGUGGAAAUGUUUCAAAGACUAAUCGAUUGGGCACUAGCCCCACAUCAAAGAUAUGCUGCAGCCUACCUGGCCGACAUCAUCAUUUACUCAAACAAGUUGGAGCAACAUCUAAAAGCCCUUUGGGCAGUCCUCCAGGAACUCUGAUUAGCCGAUUUAACUGCCAAACCAGGAAAAUGUGUAUUAGGAAAGGCAGAGACCAAAUAUCUCAGGUUCUCAGUGGGAUAGAGAUGUAUCCGACUGGCUAGCAGAUAAGAUAGAAACCAUAAGAGACUAACCUCUGCCCCAAACUAGAAAACAGAUGAGAGCUUUUCUCAGGCUAGCCAGUUACUACUGGCACUUUAUUCCACAUUUCGGGGGAGGUGACCACACCAUUAACAGACAUUUUGAAGGGAAAAAGCUCAGACCUUAUAAAGCGGGAUGAAUCACGCCUCCAAGCAUUUCAGAGAACAAAAACAGCACUGUGCCUUGAUGUGGUCCUAAAGACUCCUGAUUUCACACAGCCUUACAUUUGUCAGACGGAUGCCUCUAAUCAUGCCAUGGGAGCUGUAUUGUCCCCAGAAAUGGACAGAGUGGACCAGCUCAUAGCCUAUGCCAGCUGCAAGUUGAACUCUCACUGUAACAGGGUGGCUGAAGCACCCUGGCACAGGAGCGCAAGUAUUAAAACAUAGGAAAGAAACUUACCGGGAGAUGCUGAGGAAACCGCGGUGAGCCAGGGCGGGAAAGACACCAUGGCCUGAUUAAUUAAGGGAACCAGCUGGGGCCACAGCAGUUCAAAGGCUGUUGUGGCAAAACCCAGCUGCCAGGGUUCAAACCCAAGAUGGAGAAUGACGCAGCCAAAGAAAAAGAAAAAGCCGUGCCAAAAAGUUAAAAGAGAAACAGCUGGGUUGGGAAGGCAGUGAAUCGGAGGCUGCCCCAGGGACCCAGCUGACCGGGAGAUAAAUUUAAGGGGACAUUGAGGGAGAGUCUGGGUUGGAUCUGAGUAAUGGAAGAAGGAGGAGGAGAGAGAGAAGACAACGAGAGCUGAGGAGGGAAAGAAACAACUUUGGGGUUGGGGGAAACCCCAAUCCCAGACUUACCUGGUGAGAGCCAACAAAGACACAGAGGAGACUGUUCUGUCGGCAUGGCAGAAGAUUUUUCUGAAGGACAGAACACAACUAUUCCAGCAAGGAGGCAACUCAGCUCUAGGAGGCACGCCACCAACCGCUUACACUCACUAACAAAGCCCUGCAGAUUCAUUAGUGAGUGGUAAGGAGGACAGGAGAUACCAGUCACCAACAUGUGAACAAACCUUAAAAAGGACUAUUUCUGGAAGAGUUGGCUCUUUUAGGAAUUAAGUACAAAAGAAAGUUUGGAAGCUCAUGGCAAGCACGAACUGUUGCUGGCAGGAGCUGCCAUAUAGCUGACAAGCUAGUGAAGCUCCAUCUGUGACGUUUAGUGAAAAUGAUUGAGUUAAUGUGUAUGCAACUAUAAAGAUCAGUUUAAAAAUCCUGUGGAUUUGGUGGUAAAAUGCGUAGGUUUGUUAGGUCUAGUAAAUGAAGUUCUCUUAUUUUUAACCAAAAGUACCAUUAUAUUAAACUACCAACAUGACUCAGCCUUCAUCAGGACAGGAGGAAUCAAGGCUCUCUCAGUUUCAAACGUCCAUGCAUGACUUGCUCUUUCUGCUGAGUCUGCCAACAGUUGUAAAUCAAUGUGCAGUGAACUUGUGAGGUGGGAGCUGAGAUCCCCCCAACUCAUUACAUAUACUCCUAAAAACAUUGAUUACCUGGGAAUAAUUUGUAAUCUGUGUUAUGCUGGGUUGGAUUCAAAAUGGUAACGUUCAGGUGGAAGCUUCUGUAGUUCCUUAGUAAUUCCCUCAGUUACCGUAUUUGUUACUAGAUGUGAAGUGAGGCUUAUUUUCUUGGAAGAUACCAAUAAGUUUAUUACAUCUAAUUCUGAACUUUUUGGAGCUUGGGCAGGCACAAUCUUAGUAGAAAGGGGUGGGGUGUAGGGGGGGAGGAGCCCCAUAGAAGACAUGCCAGUAGAGUCACCCUGGGUCCUACAGAAAUUACUGAGCACCACCUCUGGAGGUAAAAUCCAGUAUAAAAAACAAGUUGUGGCAGGUGAAUAGACCCAGGUGAGAUGUGGUUCAGGUGGGAUAAGCCCAUUGGCUGGUAUGGUGGUCAUGAGCCUGUCAUACCAGGAUUUCCCAGUAUCUAAAUUUAUUACAGUUAUUACAAGAUCACUAUCCUACUUUAUGAAGGGGUCCUAUACCUACAUUUAAAGCACUAAUGCCUAAGGCCGUGAGUAGACAAAAUGAAGGGUGUGUGUGCCCAACACUUUAAAGCGGGCUAAAUGCUUUUGCACUGCUUUAAUUGUAUUGGUAUUUGCAUGCCUUGGCAGCGUAUUGUGCAUUAAUUCCAGCCACUGUAGGAAAUUCAGUGGCCUAAUGUGCCUUAAAUGACUUGGGGUGCAGCAAAAUAAAACUCCAAGGACGUGUCUUAAUUUGCUGCCCCUACAGCCGCAGAGCAAAGCCUGGGGCUUUGUGCAGCUCCACGGCUCUGCAAGAAUCCCUGCAGGGAGCCUGGCAGCAGCCCAGGAAAGCAGGCUCUGCCCAAGAAAAGCAGUGAGCCUGAUUUCCCGCCCCCCUUCCCCGGAGCCUGCCUGCCUGCUUGAGCUGCACAGGGACCCAGUGCUUCCCUCCGUGGCUGAGGUGCCCCCCAGGACCACCCGUGCCAGGUGCCUGCGGGUGGGUUCUGCCUGGGUGGGACUGCUGCUGCUGUGGAGGGAAGCACCAGCCCCCCCCCCCCGCCUCAUAGCCCAGGGACCGCUCCUCCUGCCGGCAGCUCAACCUCCCCUCCCUGCUGCCAGAGAGGCAGGUAAGUGCAGGGUGUGUGUAUGACACAGGGGUUUACUUCACCCUAAAUUGAACUGGUGCGUUUUUAAACCCACCAGUUCAAUUUAGGGACCCCAUUUCACCUACACACGCCCUAAACUAGCAUGCAGCUGCUGAACCUUUAAAAAGCAAUGACCCUUGGAACCAAAUCAUCUGCUAAAAAGAACCCUUGACAUGAGCUUAGUCUCUCAUAACACUGACUAAUUAUAAUAGAACUAUAAUGUGUUAUUUAGUAGUUGAGAAAGUGAUGAUUGCUUCAGUUACAAUGAUUCUGGUGUCACAAUUGCCUCAGCUAAGAGUGACCUCAGCUAUUACUCUGACCCUAUGUUAUAUGGUUUAUUUAAUCAAUACAAUUACAUAUAAUACUAAUGAAUUAGCUUAAUCAUAACCUAAUGGAACCCACCUACAAAAUGCACAAGCCAUUUUAUGCUGCAAAGUGUGUUCUCAUUUUCAUGUUGCUAGUUAUUAAACAUAAUUGUUUUUUUCCUCUCAUAUUUGUUGUAUAUGAUCAUGUCUUCUAUAUAUGCUGUAUUUAAGCACCAGGCCUCCUUAUCUUCAAAACACCAAGAUAAACUGCAUGUAGGCAGAUAUCUGUGGCUUUUGUUUAGGCCUAUUGUUUAGAACCCUUCGUACUGUUUACUGUGAACAAGAAAGCAGUGGGUUCAAGCAAUGGGGAUCAGCUCCUAGCCUGAUUGGCAAAAGUGGGCAGUGUUCUUUUUUAAGUAAUUGACUAAGAGAGAUGAUGAAAUGUGGCAACACCUGACUGGAUACUUGAGGGUGAUGUCGUGCCAUAGUAUAUAGGAAUUUUCAGCUGAGAGUCUCUCUCUGGGGCUGCAAAGCUGGAAGCUGAGCUGCAAAAAAUUGCAGCCCAUGGAGGGGGGUCUUCCCCCACCUUCACUGGAGAAGCAAGUUGGAGCUAUGUGAAGGAAAAAUCCAAGGUAGAGGAAGAAAAAGACUGUCUCAGAGUUUGGGGGACAGCUUCUCUCCCUCUUUUCUCCUUUUUCCUGGGGUUUGAGUGGGAUAAAACCAUGGGGUUAUUAAUCCAUGGGGGUAAAACUAUGAGAGUUUUGAGUGGGAUAAUACUGUGGGGGCUGAAGCCUGGCAGUUUUGCUAGCAGAUUUGGGCCAGGAUUAAAAGCCUGGCACAUUUCAAACCAGGGCUGAGGAUGUGGCAUGUUUGUUACUGUUGCAACAUCUUUUGUUUCAGUCUAGCUAUGUGGCUGAACCCCAGCAGUAUAUUCCAUUGACACAUUUGGGCCAGGAUUAAAGGCCUGGCAAAUUUGGGACCAGGUUUAAGACCUUGAGUGGGAUAAUACUGUGGGGGUAUUAAUCCCUGGAGCAAACUGGCCAUGAAUGGAGUCCUGACAGUUAUUGACCAGAAUAAACCUCCCCAUCCACCUUCAGCUUUGUUGUUUUACAGCUGUUUUGUCUUGGUCUAGUUCAGACUUGUCCAACAUACGGCCUACCAAGGCAUUUUCUGAGGCCCGCAGUGCUGCAACAGGAAAUGAAAGUAAACACGGUUUAUUUUCAUUCCCACUCCUUGUCCCUCCCCCAGUCCCUCAGCAGCUUCCUAAUGGCUGCUGAAGGGCUGGGGAAGGGACAAGGUUCCCACACGCACCGUGUCAGCAUGGCGCGGCCCAGCCGGGUCCCUCACAGGGCCAGAACCCUCCCUGGCCGGGUGGGUGGCGCUGGCUGCGGCUGCUGAGCGGCCCCGCCUGCCCGCCCGCCCUGAGGAGCUGGUGCCUGCCCGGGCAGCUGUAGCCGAUGCCACGGGCUCGGGGCAGGCGCAGGAUGGAGCCUUCAUGGGAGAACUUUGCUGCUGGAUGGCGGAGGAGCGGUUCCGCUCAUGGGCCCGGGACCUGCCGGUCACUGGCAGGGAGGAUGCGCGUCCAGGAGUGCCUGUGCUCCUGCCCCCACCUCCCCACCCUGACACAAGCCUGUGAACAUGCCCUGCACUGUCAGAGUGGCCCCACGCGGGAGGCCAAGCAGCGGCCGCUGGCACUGCCAGCCCACGCCUGCCUCCUAACCCGCCCACUUCAAGCCAGCCCCGCUGCCCUGCCCUGCCCCACAGCAAGGCGGCACCUGCUCCUCUGGCCAGUCUCCCCCUGGUCACUGCGGCUCUCCGGGCUUGGCCGCCCACGCACAAGGCCCCGAGGGUGCCAUUUCUCAUGUGCUGCUGGGGACGGGAGGAGCCCAGUCGGGUCUGCAGCGACCAGCAGAAGUGGCGGAGCCAUGUGCCACUUGGGACAGGAUGAGCCUGCAGCGGUCAGUCCCGAGAGGCACACGGCUCUGCCGCUGCUUCUGCAGACCUGGCCAGCCUCCUCCCAUCCCCAGUAGCACAUGGGAAGCCAGCUUCAGCUGUAUGCUGCUUUUCCUGGCCGGUGCUGACCUGGUUCUGCCCAGGCAGGUCCUGCAGCACCAUAUCAACCCAGGCAUGGCACCAGCAGGCUGGGUGGGCCUCCAGUCAACUCUGGCCUGGCCCUGCGGCUUCUCCAGCACCAGGUCAACACAGUUGUAGCCAAGCGGCUCCUGCAGCACCAUGUCAACCCGGGCAUGGCACGAGGUCGGCCAGGCAACAGGUCUGUAGAAAUACUGUCCAGUGUUUGGAUUGUGUUUACUUCUGUUUCUA